UUGAACGCUGGCGGCAUGCUUUACACAUGCAAGUCGAACGGUAACAGCACUUCGGUGGCUGACGAGUGGCGAACGGGUGAGUAAUACAUCGGAACGUGCCUAGUAGUGGGGGAUAACUACUCGAAAGAGUAGCUAAUACCGCAUGAGAUCUAAGGAUGAAAGCAGGGGACCUUCGGGCCUUGCGCUACUAGAGCGGCUGAUGGCAGAUUAGGUAGUUGGUGGGAUAAAAGCUUACCAAGCCGACGAUCUGUAGCUGGUCUGAGAGGACGACCAGCCACACUGGGACUGAGACACGGCCCAGACUCCUACGGGAGGCAGCAGUGGGGAAUUUUGGACAAUGGGCGCAAGCCUGAUCCAGCAAUGCCGCGUGCAGGAUGAAGGCCUUCGGGUUGUAAACUGCUUUUGUACGGAACGAAAAGCCCUCUUCUAAUACAGGAGGGUCAUGACGGUACCGGAAGAAUAAGCACCGGCUAACUACGUG
rnacentral:rRNA from 1 species